rnacentral:rRNA from 1 species
UACAGAGGGUGCGAGCGUUGUUCGGAAUUACUGGGCGUAAAGCGCGCGCAGGCGCCUUUUAAGUCUCGUGGUGAAAUGCCGGGGCUCAACCCCGUGCCCGCCGGAGAUACUGGGAGGCUGGAGACGAGUAGAGGCAAGCGGAAUUCCGGGGUGUAGCGGUGGAAUGCGUAGAGAUCCGGAAGAACACCGGAGGCGAAGGCGGCUUGCUGGGCUCAUGGUCUGACGCUGAGGCGCGAAAGCGUGGGGAGCGAACGAGGAU